rnacentral:rRNA from 1 species
AGAGUUUGAUCCUGGCUCAGGAUGAACGCUAGCUACAGGCUUAACACAUGCAAGUCGAGGGGCAGCAUUGGGAUAGCUUGCUAUUCCAGAUGGCGACCGGCGCACGGGUGAGUAACGCGUAUCCAACUUCCCCUUAGUAGGGCAUAGCCCGGCGAAAGUCGGAUUUAACACCCUAUGUUCUCCGUAGAGGGCAUCUGCAAUGGAGCAAAGGUUUACCGCUAAGGGAUGGGGAUGCGUCUGAUUAGGCGGCAGGCGGGGUAACGGCCCACCUGGCCUACGAUCGGUAGGGGUUCUGAGAGGAAGGUCCCCCACAUUGGAACUGAGACACGGUCCAAACUCCUACGGGAGGCAGCAGUGAGGAAUAUUGGUCAAUGGGCGCAAGCCUGAACCAGCCAAGUAGCGUGCGGGAUGAAGGCCCUACGGGUUGUAAACCGCUUUUUCACGGGGAUAAAGAGGGCCACGCGUGGCCCGUUGCAGGUACCGUGCGAAUAAGGACCGGCUAAUUCCGUGCC